ACUCCUACGGGAGGCAGCAGUGGGGGAAUAUUGGACAAUGGGCGCAAGCCUGAUCCAGCCAUGCCGCGUGGUGUGAAGAAGGCCUUUUGGGUUGUAAAGCACUUUAAGCGAGGAGGAGGCUCCUUUAGUUAAUACCUAAAGUGAGUGGACGUUACUCGCAGAAUAAGCACCGGCUAACUCUGUGCCAGCAGCCGCGGUAAUACAGAGGGUGCGAGCGUUAAUCGGAUUUACUGGGCGUAAAGCGUGCGUAGGCGGCUUUUUAAGUCGGAUGUG
rnacentral:rRNA from 1 species